rnacentral:rRNA from 1 species
UACGAAGGGUGCAAGCGUUACUCGGAAUUACUGGGCGUAAAGCGUGCGUAGGUGGUUUUUUAAGUCCGUUGUGAAAGCCCUGGGCUCAACCUGGGAAUGGCAGUGGAUACUGCCAAGCUUGAGUAUAGGAGAGGUUACUGGAACUCCCGGUGUAGCGGUGAAAUGCGCAGAUAUCGGGAGGAACACCAAUGGCGAAAGCAGGUAACUGGACUAUUACUGACACUCAACUGCGAAAGCUAGGGGAGCAAACAGG